AGAGUUUGAUUAUGGCUCAGGACGAACGCUGGCGGCAUGCCUAACACAUGCAAGUCGAACGGAGUAAUGACUUCGGUUAUUACUUAGUGGCGAACGGGUGAGUAACACGUGAAUAAUCUGCCCUGUACGAUGGGAUAACAGCUGGAAACGGCUGCUAAUACCGUAUAUGACCACGCCGAGGCAUCUCGGAGGGGUGAAAGCGCUUAAGCGGUACAGGAUGAGUUCGCGUCCAAUUAGCUAGUUGGUGAGGUAACGGCCCACCAAGGCGACGAUUGGUAGCCGACCUGAGAGGGUGAUCGGCCACACUGGAACUGAGACACGGUCCAGACUCCUACGGGAGGCAGCAGUGGGGAAUAUUGGGCAAUGGAGGAAACUCUUACCCAGACCAAUGCCGCGUGAGUGAUGAAGGUCUUCGGAUUAGUAAAGCUCUUUGAUUGGGGACGAAUAAAUGACGGUACCCAAGGAACAAGCCCCGGCUAACUAUGUGCCAGCAGCGGC
rnacentral:rRNA from 1 species